rnacentral:misc_RNA from 1 species
GAAAAAAAAAAAAAAAGAGAGGCAAAGUUCAUGCUUUUUUGGUCAUUAGACCAAAAUAUAUGGUCGUGUGUUAAGUGGGUAUUAAAUGGGUUAGACAUGUCAUAUCAUUUCAUUUUAUUCAUGUACAACAUCGAUUUCCUGUUUAGAUCAUGUAUUUUAUGUGUUGACUCAAAUUUGUUAUGCAACUCUUGAUAUGGCACCAAGGCACAUGUUAGGCUGAAUUACCAACUGCACUUGGUUUGUUAAUUAAAUAUGGAAGAUUUCAUGUGUUGCAUGAAGGAAUAUGGAAGUUUUCACGUGUUGCAUGAAGGAUAAGUGCAAAAAAAAUUCACUCUGUAAUGCCUAUUUUGAAAAUUUAACAGUUGAAUGCUAUCUUCCAAUUGCAAAAACAUCCUUCUGAUCUAUCUCUUGAAUUUUUCUUGUAUUAUGUCAGGCUGCGGCAAUUCGAUUGGAA